rnacentral:RNase_P_RNA from 2 species
GAGAGGAGGCGCAGGCAGUUGCAGACAGUGGCGAUUGACCCUGUCUGAGGAAAGUCCGGGCUCCCGAAAGACCAGACUUGCUGGGUAACGCCCAGUGCGGGUGACCGUGAGGAUAGUGCCACAGAAACAUACCGCCGAUGGCUGAUAGAAGCACUAGAUAGCUUCUAUUUGUACAGGUAAGGGUGCAAAGGUGCGGUAAGAGCGUCACCAGCAGUAUCGAGAGGUGCUGGCUCGGUAAACCCCGGUUGGGAGCAAGGCACAAUGGAACUAUGGUUGGUCUUUUACCAGUUUCACUCAAUAGAACCGCUUGAGGUGUCUGGUAACAGACAUCCCAGAUAGAUAACUGCCCUCUAAGUUAGUCUAAAGACUACUGUAGGAGAACAGAACCCGGCUUAUGACCUGCUCUCUCCC